rnacentral:misc_RNA from 1 species
GAGAGUUGCAAAACUCCCACAAACCAUCGCGAACGUUACCCAGACGUCGUUGCUUCGGCGGGCUCGCCCGCCGGGGGGACGCUACCAGACUCUUGCAGUUCUUCGGCCUCUCUGAGUAUGAUUUUUAAAUAAGUCA